rnacentral:rRNA from 1 species
CAAAGAUUUAUCGCUGGAAGAUGGCCUCGCGUCUGAUUAGCUAGUUGGUGAGGUAACGGCCCACCAAGGCGACGAUCAGUAACCGGACUGAGAGGUUGGCCGGCCACAUUGGGACUGAGAUACGGCCCAGACUCCUACGGGAGGCAGCAGUGGGGAAUAUUGGGCAAUGGACGCAAGUCUGACCCAGCAACGCCGCGUGAAGGAAGAAGGCUUUCGGGUUGUAAACUUCUUUUAAGGGGGAAGAGCGGAAGACGGUACCCCUUGAAUAAGCCACGGCUAACUACGUGCCAGCAGCCGCGGUAAUACGUAGGUGGCAAGCGUUGUCCGGAUUUACUGGGUGUAAAGGGCGUGCAGCCGGAGAGACAAGUCAGAUGUGAAAUCCACGGGCUCAACCCGUGAACUGCAUUUGAAACUGUUUCCCUUGAGUGUCGGAGAGGUAAUCGGAAUUCCUUGUGUAGCGGUGAAAUGCGUAGAUAUAAGGAAGAACACCAGUGGCGAAGGCGGAUUACUGGACGAUAACUGACGGUGAGGCGCGAAAGCGUGGGGAGCAAACAGGAUUAGAUACCCCGGUAGUCCACGCUGUAAACGAUCGAUACUAGGUGUGCGGGGACUGACCCCCUGC